ACCUGAAAUAUAGUGAACUGCAUACAUAACAAUUAAACAUAGACAAGUACACAGUUGAACACAGACACACACACUUAGCCAGUUUGACCUGAAGGAUAGACUUACUGAAACUCGAAAGGCGACGAGGUUCAAUGGAGACAGAGAAAGUAGCAAGAGAAGGAUGAAGAUGAGGAUAAAAUAUGGUUACCAGAAUUACGCAUGUUCGUACUCAUGUUGGCGUUGGUUCAACAAUAAUAUUAACAGAAUUGAAUCCAAGUUGAGAGUAAAUAUCAAAAUCAGAAUGAUAAACGAUGCACUGUGCGCCCUCUGAAAGAUUACUUCAAGUUCCUCUCUUUUUCAUCUUCAUCUUUUUUCACAAUCUGAUGAUGAUAAUCAUCAAGAGUAUUCAUUGUUUCAUCUCUCAUGAGCCCUGAGGAGAGGUGGAUAGGAGAGAUUGGGAAAAGUGGCAAAGAAUUAUCGAAACAGAAAUCUAUUUUGACAAGGAAUUAUGUCAAUCGAUUAACACAAUUUUUUUGU